rnacentral:lncRNA from 1 species
AAAGAGGCUAAGGCACUUGUCAGCAUUUUCACAAGCAGCUAAAAAAGCAGAAUCAGGAUUUCAGCCUAGGAAGUUUUGAGCACCAGGGCUCCAAAUCUAAAUUUGUAUGCACUUUUAAAGUGCCCUCUAAAUCGUUAAUUUGGUAAUUAUCUUAUAAACAUGCAAAUGAUAUUAAUUCUGUUAUUAUAUGACAAUAAUUCAUUUUGUUUGAGUUCUUAAAACUGGAUAAAGAUUUACAUGAUGCUGAGAAUGUGAAAUUUAGAUUUCUGAUGUCCAAUGUAAGCUUAGUGAAGACUAACGGUUUUAAAUGCCCAAAGCCCAAAUCUCUACAAGUAACUAAUUGAAUUCUGUCCUUGCAUAUAAGGAAGAUUUGCUUCAAUGAUAAAAUUGUUUCACUUGGAUUCCAAAGGAAGACAGCUAAAAUUUACAUAGGAGUAUUUCAUAUUUUCUUAUCCUUGAAGAAAUGUGUGAAAUUCUAAUGUAGAUUGAUCAAACUCAAGAAAUUUGGGAAGUUUCCUAAGGAAAUUUUUUAACAUCCAAACUCCUGAUAUCCCCAUUUCAGCCACAAGGAGGACAAGAGAAUAAGUAUGGAUGUUUAUAAUGCAAAGUUAAAGGAAGAGGAGUAAUAUAUACGUUCUCUAAACUAAAAUUACGUAAAGAAUGUCAUUGUCUUUUUUUUUGUGUGUGUGUAAGUCAAAUACAUCUAGAAGUGAUACUUAGAAGAAUAAAGCUUAUCUUUCAUAGCCCUAGAUGGAAAAUAAAACCAAAAUCUGCUUUUGCAAGAUCAUUUUCUUAAAUGAGCAGAGGGAUGAAUUACAGGCUAUAAAUAAAUUUACUGACAUAUAAUAAAACAAAGGUCAACUGUUAGCUAUGUUAACAGCUACCUGUAUUUUUCAGAAAUUUCAUUUCACUUCACAUUACGAGAGUUAGUUGUUGUUUGUUUUCGGUUUUGGUUUUGGUUUUCCUCCUCCUAAACUUACCUUUUGUGAACAGUGAGAACUUAAAGAUUCCUACUCUUCAUAUUUGGAAAAAGAAGGCCCUCACCUGAGAGCUUAGGGUUCACACAGACACAGACUGCUCUGGUACUGUCUGUGUCUGUGCAGUCAUAUGAGAUGUGCCUGCAACAAACAACUUGACAGGUGUCUCCUGCUGGCAGUGAAGUGGAAAGUCAGAGUCUAUAUAAGUGAGAAGGGACAUGUGCAGAGACAAAAUGUAUUGUGAGACCAACAGGGCAAUUUCACAUUAGAUUCCUGGCACCUGGCACGAUUAAGUACUAUCACAAAGCCUAUUUUAGAAACCAAAAGAUUCCCUCACUGCUUUAUUGCUGGGAUAGAAACCAAAGCAAGACAAAGCAGGUGAGCUGGGUAAGGAUUCUCACACCAUGGUUUUGGGACCAUCUCCUGGAAGGUGGGAAGACUCAGGGAGAUUGGAACAGGGCUAGGAAAUCUGUAAUGGCAAAUUAUAAAGUCUGAAAUAGAGAACCCCAGCUAUUAACCAAGCAAAUCCAGCUACAGGCUGUUUUGUUGUUGUUUGUUUUGUUAAUAUUUUAAAAACUACAUUCCAUUCAGAAACCUAAAGUUCCCAAAAGUCUGUUUAGGAUUCUGUGGGGGUUUGUCCAAGUAGAGCUAAGUGUGACUGUUCCCGUGAAAUUAUUUGUACUUUUUAACUUUAAGUCAUGGUGAGCGUAACAUUUUUAAAUCCCUUUCUCUUUUAUACUUAUAAGUAGACUUAUCUUCAUCUUGGGCUGCAUGUGCUCAUUCUAGGAGCUCACUAGAGAAGACAGUUCAGGAAGAGAGAGGGGAGCUUUCAGUGAUAGUAUACAGAUGGGGACAAAUUCUUCAGCAGGGCUCUAGCUUCAGGCAGUGUUUAGAAGGUAUCAGUGGAGCUAAAAAUCUUUUUAAAGUACAUAUAUUUACUAUGUCAGCCUAAGGUAAACUCUAGCAGGCUUGAGAAGAAUGAGAAUAAGAAGAGUAGUCUCAGAGAAAUAUGUGGACUAGAGAAAUGAAAAAAUGAAAAAAAUCAACAGUAUAUUAAAUUGGAGAAGAACAUGCAUUUUAUCAGGAUAAUUGUGCAUUAUCUCUUUAAAUUAGCGGAAGAAAAACAAACCAGUCUUGAGUUUAUCCUCUGAUGAGUCUUCUCAGUAUUUAACUGGGUCCCCAAAUGGAAUCAGCCUUACCAGAAUCCACAGCUAGUUCUUUUGACAUUUUGCAAAAAAGUAAAUAAAUAAAUUAUAAGUAUGACAAGUAAAAUGAAUAGUUCCAGCUGUGACACCAGCAGCAUUUCCAGAUUUCGUACAAUAUUAGGGAUUUAUUUUCACUUUGUUGCCUAGCAGAGAAUUAAUUGAAAGGUCUAUCUAAGCUUCUCAUGCUUCCUUGGGACGAAGUCAAAAACAGAAUCUCCAACAUUCAGUGCCAAUUUAGAAAAGAAGAAAACCAUUAAGUGGAUAGGUGGUCAACUCAUCAACUCUGGAAAUAUAUGUCCCUGAGGAUCAAUGUCACUGAAGCCAAAUAAACACAUCAGUGAAUCUAAUGGUUAUAUGAACAUGUGAAUAUGAGACUGGCAACUGAUUAUUUGGGUUGAUUUAUUCAGCAAAUAUUUACAGAGAUCCUACUCUGUGCUACCUACACUUCUACACGCUGAGGAUAGAGAGAGAAAAAGACAAAGGCUCAGCUUUCAGGGAACUUAAAAUCUUAGUUAAGGAGC